UCGGGAAUUUUGGGCAAUGGGCGAAAGCCUGACCCAGCAACGCCGCGUGAGGGAUGAAGUAUUUCGGUAUGUAAACCUCGAAAGAAUGGGAAGAAUAAAUGACGGUACCAUUUAUAAGCUCCGGCUAACUACGUGCCAGCAGCCGCGGUAAUACGUAGGGAGCUAGCGUUGUUCGGAUUUACUGGGCGUAAAGGGCGCGUAGGCGGCGCGGUAAGUCACUUGUGAAAUCUCUGAGCUUAACUCAGAACGGCCAAGUGAUACUGCUGUGCUAGAGUGCGGAAGAGGCAACCGGAAUUCUUGGUGUGGCGGUGAAAUGCGUAGAUAUCAAGAGGAACACCUGAGGCGAAGGCGGGUUGCUGGGCCGACACUGACGCUGAUGCGCGAAAGCCAGGGGAGCAAACG
rnacentral:rRNA from 1 species